rnacentral:rRNA from 1 species
UACGGAGGAUCCGAGCGUUAUCCGGAUUUAUUGGGUUUAAAGGGUGCGCAGGCGGAAGAUUAAGUCGGUGGUGAAAUUUUGCAGCUCAACUGUAAAAGUGCCAUUGAUACUGGUUUUCUUGAGUGUGGAUGAAGUAGGCGGAAUUUGUGGUGUAGCGGUGAAAUGCGUAGAUAUCAGGAGGAACACCGGCGGCGAAGGCGACUUUCUGGACGAUAACUGACGCUGAGGCGCGAAAGCGUGGGGAGCAAACAGGAUUAGAUACCCCCGUAGUCCCUGA